UCUCGGAUAGCUUACUUGGUAGAGCAUUUGGAGCGUAACCAAAAGAUCCGGGUUCGAGUCCUGGUCUGAGCU
rnacentral:tRNA from 1 species